GGCACAGAGUUUAUGAAACUGCAGCUCUCUAAUUCAUAAAGACAACCUCUAGAUUGGAAUUUGAAGUAUUCUGCUGCCCAAAGAGAGGAAGCAGCCCGUUUGUCAGCAGAGGGUGCCACAGUGGCAGGAAGGGGGCAGUCUGCAGGGGACAGCUCCAGCUGCCAGAGAAAUGGUAGCUUCAAGAAGUCGAUAUGGCUUCGGAAACCAGGACUAGGGGUGCCAUUGAGCAUGUCCUGUUUGUCUCAUCUGAGAAACACAAUUUUGAGAGUACAAGAGCUCCCAGGCCUUUCAAAGUGACCAUUCAAUCAACAACUUCGUGCCCAAGAAGGAAAAGGACAGCGGGCAGUUUUUGCUGGAAGAGCCAAAGUUUUGCCAGUUUGGGCCUGUCCCCAUCACAGCUCUUUUAUUCCUGGGCUUUCAUGUUGCCGUGGUAACCAGAGUGGGCAGAUGCUGCUUGUGUGGUGUUUACUGCUCUUUACGGGGCUCAGCAUAGUGCUGACACAGAACAGAAAAUCGAUGAACACUGUCGAAUGACCUUUGUAACUAUCUGUUUGUGGGGAAAUCUCAUUAAGCCAUUCCUUUCUCUACAGCCAAAAAAAAAAAAAAAAAAAAAAAUCAGACUUAACACGUGGGCACACAAACAAUGAAUGUACAAACAAGGACAGAUCAAAAUCCUAAGAACUUUUGAGAAAUCUGCAUUUGUUUACUUCUCUCUGUCAUGCUAUUGUUUAACUUCCUGUUAUCCAUCAGUUUCUUUCUCUUGUCUGUUCUUCCUUCCUAUUAUGUGAGGCAAGUUCUGGCUAUGUAGUUGAAGCUAGCCUUGGACUUACUAUGUAGCCCAGGCUGACCCCAAUUCAAAACCUUUCCAUAAUUAAUCUCUCUAGUGCUGGAAUUAAAGGCAUGUGCCUCUGCACUCAGCUUUAUUUAGCUUUCUAUAAUUAAAACGUGUGCUGACUUUUAUAGUGAAAAAAAAACCCUUCGCAAACUUUCCAGAGAUGCAAAAUCCUGUUUUAAAAAAGUCAUCUGUCCUCUGAAGCAAAGCCAACUCUGUCCUGAUUCUGUGAUGUGUGGUGGAGGGGCAGGUAGGGGUAGACUUCCACGCAUGUGUACGUGCCAAACAGAGAAGUGGCAUUUGUUCUUUAACAGACAAGGACAUACUCGGUAAGUUUUUCCAAUAUGAAAUCAUGAUGCAGUUCUUAUGUGAGUAUCCACGGAGUGAUUUUCCGCCUGAUUAAUUCCAGAGGCUCAUCUCUUUCUGGGCUCAUCUCCUCGCCUCCCUUGUGCCUUAGCCCAUGUCUGCUACUGUAACUCAACAGUCCUGAGUGAGUGCUCUAUAAAGCAUAGAGACUUGCUUUGCUUUGGUUCGGAGGGCUAGGAAGUCCAAGGUGAGGAAGGACCUUCUUAUCUGUGCCCCACCACAUGGUGGAGGGCAGCUGGUGGUAAGACAGAGGCAGUACCCUACCUGGCCUCAGUCUCUUCUUAGAGAGCUGUUAGAGCCGUCUCAGCCAUGUGAACCUAUGACCUCAUCUAAUUUAAUUAUCCCCCAAAGGCUUCACCUUCAAAUGCUAUUAAAAUGGACUUGGGAAUUUAAUUUUCAGCAUAUGAUCUUUGGGAGAACAUUCAAAGAACAACACCCCCAUCUUCCAUGUCACCCCCGAUGAGGGGCAGAACAACACCCCCAUCUUCCAUGUCACCCUGAUGAGGGGCGGUUGGUGCCCAUCACAGCUCUUUGGACUUUGUCAUUGCGCAGCUCAUUGCUCGUUUGCUCCCUGAGGAUGUACAGGCAGCUCAAGCGCCAGCACCAGCCUCUUGUCGGCUCCUUGAAAGGCCUCCAAAGGUAUUUGAUGAAUGAAUCAAAGAAGAGAACUGGCUGCUUGUGGUCAGUUCUGGCAACACACUCCUGUCAGCUGCUGACACAGUAGGAAGAGGGGGCACUGGGAAAUAAUGUACUGAAAGUUCUAAUGGAAGUCAGGGGAAAAUGAGAACCUACUGAGCAGCCAACAUUUAGAGAUGUGAACUACUUUGGUAUUUCCUCAGUGUCUUUUAGAGCUUUUCUUUGUUGUUUUUGUCUGGCAAUGUCAUCUGCGGCGAUGCUGUCUGUAGCUUAUCUAUCAUCAUUAUUUUUUGCUUCAACAAUAACAAUAAUAAACCAAGUUCUAUGCU